GAGGAGGAGGAGGAGGAGGAGGAGGAAGAGUGGGAGGGAAGGGGGAGGUGGAGGCUUGCACCACACGCACACGAAUACGCAAGACUUGCUUCGGAGGGACGACGAGGAGGAUGACGAAGAAACGGGGUGUAGUAGGGAGAGGGGGAGGUUGUCGAAGGGAGGGUGUCUCCCGCCACUGUACGCUCGCUUAUGUCUCCCUACCACUCGGUCGCUCGGUCACGCGGUUGCGCGCGCACGCGUUCGCGCGUACGAAGGGUGGGGAUAGAGGGAAACGUGCGGCCGACGAAGUUACUGCUGCGAAACGAAAGCACAGAAUCAUUACACCGCCAGACCUCGAGGAGAGUAGACGCGUUUGAAGUUACUCAGGCUCAGUCGAGAUCUCGUGCUUCCUCCAUCAACCCCAAUAGUGGACGACGAUCGUACGGAUACGAUAUUUCGUGUUUUUCGAAACCGUUUUUUUUUUCUACCGUAGUUCUCAUCGUAGUUCUCUACUGUAGAAAAAAAAAGAUGGCGAUACCAUUCAUGCAGCCGACCGAAGAGGACCAAGAACUAUCGAAUCAGCAACUGCAGAUCAUGAUGGCCCUCUACAUGGCACUUCAACAGGUCUUGCGGAGCAGAUCAUUUCGCCACUCAUCAAGAAACCGAAAGACAAUGGCCCCGAGUCUACUCGAAAGCGCAACGACAGCAAUCUACUAUACUACACAACGCAACACAACAACGUGCUCGAGCGUAACGCGUUCGGACCUGUUCGUGCUUGUUUUUUUCUUUUUUUUUUCUUUUCUUUUUCUUUUUUCUUUUUUUUUUACGUUCUCUCAGCUGUCCAAGGGCUCGAUGGGACACACCGAGUACCGAAUGGCGCACAUAUCAUUUUUUUUCCUCGACCCUCCGCCAACAACGGGCAACGAAUUAACAGAGACAAUGGCUCGCAUUAUACUUUGCCUCGGAGACAGACAGUUUACUUCGUUUUUGGCUCUCUCUUUCUCUCUCUCUCUCUCUCUCUCUCUCUUUGCUUUUAGCCGACAUAAAUUUCGUCUCGCUUCGUCUCGCGAGCUCGUUAAACGUUCUCUUUUUAUCUCACAAUUUUCGUCUUACAAUAAAUUAGAAAUAUUAAAACGAUCACGGAAGUCGCAAUAAUAAUUCUAAUUCAUUCAAAAGGAGAAUAAUGUAAUCAUCGAGAUGGAUUGAAACGAGGAAAUAUCAUAUUCUUUGCUUAUACAAUUAGAUAAAAAGGAAUCGAUUUAUUCAUAAAGAAAGAAAGAAAAUGAUUUAUAAUAAUGAUCUGGCGCUUGUAACCACGCGUCUUGUUAAUAAUAUCGCUACUCGUAAGAGUCGUAUUUUUGAUACGUAAUGAUAACAAGAAUAGAGAAGGAGGAAAUGGAUUUGAAAGAGGGAAAGAGUGGUUAAGAGAAAGACAGAAUGAACGGAAGGAGGAACGACGCAAUUGAAAUCGUAGCCUAUCUAUCGUGUAAUAUACGUCUCUCAUUGUCACGGAAAAGUGGCGAAUGUGAGUCGCGAUAAAAAGUAUUUGCGCUCGAGCGGCGCUUACGCCGACGCGUGUACACGCACACAUAUACAUAACUAUAUAUACGUAUACGUAAAAACAUAAGUAUACGUAUAGAUUCGUAUGCAUCGUGAAGGAGGAAGAGGAGGAGGAGGAGGAGGAGGACGGUGCAGUGGCCGAGCGUUGCAAGUAUUUUACGCUAGCAAGAGUAGGAGUAGUAACAGCAGUAGCAGC